UACGGAGGGUGCAAGCGUUACUCGGAAUUACUGGGCGUAAAGCGUGCGCAGGCGGUUUGCUAAGUCUGUUGUGAAAUCCCCGAGCUCAACUUGGGAAUUGCAAUGGAUACUGGCAGGCUGGAGUAUGGUAGAGGAAGGUGGAAUUCCCGGUGUAGCAGUGAAAUGCGUAGAGAUCGGGAGGAACACCAGUGGCGAAGGCGGCCUUCUGGACCAAUACUGACGCUCAUGCACGAAAGCGUGGGGAGCAAACAGG
rnacentral:rRNA from 1 species